rnacentral:rRNA from 1 species
UAAACACAGAUAGUGCAAAUACUACACUAUCCGCCAGAGAACUACAAGCGAAAAGCUAGAAACUCCAAGGACUUGGCGGUGCUUCAAAUCAACCUAGAGGAGCCUGUCCUAUAAUCGAUACCCCACGUUCUACCUUACCCCUCCUAGCCAAUCAGCCUAUAUACCGCCGUCGCCAGCCUACCCUAUGAAAGAAACAAAGUGGGCAAAAAAGUUUAUAACUAAAACGUCAGGUCAAGGUGUAGCACACGGAGCGGAAGAGAUGGGCUACAUUUCUUUCAAAGAAAAAAUACGAAUAAUGUACUGAAACACACACUUGAAGGCGGAUUUAGUAGUAAAAUAAACAAGAAUAACCAUUUUAAACCUGCUCUGAAGCGCGCACACACCGCCGU